UCCGUCACCAAUUUCUCUUCUUUAUGCAUUAAGAGUAUGCUAGAGAAAUUCCUUAUGGCUUCAAAAUAAACCUGAAUGUCUUAAAUAUAACUUUAUAUUCAGGAUAAUCUUUAUGUGUCACAAGACAUACACAUAAGCCUAUAAACAACAAAUGCCCCUGGCUCUGGCUUAAGACUGACACAAGUCUUAAGACUUUAUGCAAUGACAUGUCAUAACAAAUAUGCCAA
rnacentral:lncRNA from 1 species